GUUCUCAAACAUAAGCCAAUUCACAUUAAUAGAACACUUUCAUGUGAUCCCAAGGGAAAGAGGUUCCAUACACAAACAAGAAGGAAAGCAAUACGGAGGGUUAUAAAACCAGGGACAGAGUGGUACAUUGUUGUUGUUGCUUUUUUAAUUCUAGGAGGAAAGCUGGUUAUCUGGCUUAACCUAAUUAUUGUGUGAUACUGGAUCUCUUGCAUCACAAUGGGGAAUGAAAACAGCCGCACAGAAAAUCAGUCAGAAGUUGCUGGCACAAAUAAAGUCAUCCUAAUACCACCCAACGAAGGAACACAGCAGAAUAUUUCCUCAGCCCUGGCUCCGGAACCAGGCCAACCACCUGGUAAUGGGCAAGAUAUAAAAAAGAAAAAGCAGGAAAAGAAGAGUACAGACAGAUCUGGUGGUCAAGACGUCUUGAAUCUUCUACCUGCAACUACUGCUGCUCCACCACUGCCUGAUAAUGUCUCACCAUUAACCACAAGAGCUACAAGCAACUUCCCUGAGCCUUGUCAUUCUCUCCUUCCUGUAUCUGAAAAGGAUGCUAUAGCUGUAACAGCCAAGGCCACCUCAGAUGAGGCAAGAGAUGACAUCAGAAUAGAAAGUUCUCCUGUGCCAGGUGAUGUCAUAAAAUUGGCUUCUUCCCCUGAUUCUUCCAAACAACUGUUAGCUGAUUCUCUGCCUUGUGAAAAUGUUGCUGCUCUGGGUGCUGCUGAGCUGACUGCAGCAAGCAUUUCCCAGCCUGGUAGCUGCAAAGAAGUUGAGAACCCUGUUACUUCUGUUCCUGAGGAUGCUUCCUUGGCUCCUACACCAGCCGAUGAUGUAGAAUCACUUGCUCAAGACAGUGAGGGAUUGGCAAAGGAAAUAAAGAGGUAUUGUGUAAUGAUGCGUUUUAUCCAACUUCUGUCUUGGGUGUUCCCUGCUUCAGAAUAUAU
rnacentral:lncRNA from 1 species